UACACCCGUUAAGGCAUGAUGGCCUGUACCCGAAACCGACACAGGUGGGGUGGUAGAGAAUACCGAGGGGCGCGAGGUAACUCUCUCUAAGGAACUCGGCAAAAUGGCCCCGUAAUUUCGGGAGAAGGGGUGCCACCGCAAGGUGGUCGCAGUGAAGAGGCCCAGGCGACUGUUUACCAAAAACACAGGUCUCCGCUAAGUCGCAAGACGAUGUAUGGGGGCUGACGCCUGCCCAGUGCCGGAAGGUUAAGGAAGCUGGUCAGCGCAAGCGAAGCUGGCGACUGAAGCCCCGGUGAACGGCGGCCGUAACUAUAACGGUCCUAAGGUAGCGAAAUUCCUUGUCGGGUAAGUUCCGACCCGCACGAAAGGCGUAACGAUCUGGGCGCUGUCUCGGAGAGAGUCUCGGCGAAAUAGAAUUGUCUGUGAAGAUGCGGACUACGUGCACCCGGACAGAAAGACCCUAUGAAGCUUUACUGUAGCUUGGUAUUGUGCCCGGGCUCUGAAUGCGCAGGAUAGGUGGGAGGCUUUGAUCCAUUGCUUGUGGGUGAUGGUGAGCCAACGGUGAGAUACCACUCUUUCAGAGCUAGGGUUCUAACGGUCACCCGUUAUCCGGGGACCGGACAGUAUCAGGUGGGCAGUUUGACUGGGGCGGUCGCCUCCUAAAGGGUAACGGAGGCGCGCAAAGGUUCCCUCAGGCUGGUUGGAAAUCAGCCGAUGAGUGUAAAGGCAGAAGGGAGCUUGACUGUGAGACCUACAAGUCGAACAGGGACGAAAGUCGGCCUUAGUGAUCCGACGGUUCUGAGUGGAAGGGCCGUCGCUCAACGGAUAAAAGUUACUCUAGGAUAACAGGCUGAUCUCCCCCAAGAGUUCACAUCGACGGGGAGGUUUGGCACCUCGAUGUCGGCUCAUCGCAACCUGGGGCUGAAGUCGGUCCCAAGGGUUGGGCUGUUCGCCCAUUAAAGCGGUACGCGAGCUGGGUUCAGAACGUCGUGAGACAGUUCGGUCCAUAUCCGGUGCAUGCGCAGGAAUAUUGAGAGGAUUUCUCCCUAGUACGAGAGGACCGGGAGGAACGCACCUCUGGUGUACCAGUUAUCGUGCCAACGGUAAACGCUGGGUAGCCAUGUGCAGUGGAUAACCGCUGAAAGCAUCUAAGUGGGAAGCCCACCUCAAGAUGAGUAUUCCCAUGGCGUUAGCCAGUAAGGUCACGGGCAGAACACCCGUUGAUAGGCUCUACGUGGAAGCCGGGUAACCGGUGAAGCGGAGGAGUACUAAUAGACCGAGGGCUUGACC
rnacentral:rRNA from 1 species